CGCGGCCUAUCAGCUUGUUGGUGGGGUGAUGGCCUACCAAGGCAGUGACGGGUAGCCGGCCUGAGAGGGCGACCGGCCACACUGGGACUGAGACACGGCCCAGACUCCUACGGGAGGCAGCAGUGGGGAAUAUUGCGCAAUGGGCGGAAGCCUGACGCAGCGACGCCGCGUGAGGGAUGACGGUCUUCGGAUUGUAAACCUCUUUCACCCACGACGAAGCGAAAGUGACGGUAGUGGGAGAAGAAGCACCGGCCAACUACGUGCCAGCAGCCGCGGUAAUACGUAGGGUGCAAGCGUUGUCCGGAAUUAUUGGGCGUAAAGAGCUCGUAGGCGGCUUGUCACGUCGACUGUGAAAACCCGGGGCUCAACUCCGGGCCUGCAGUCGAUACGGGCUGGCUUGAGUGCGGUAGGGGAGACUGGAAUUCCUGGUGUAGCGGUGAAAUGCGCAGAUAUCAGGAGGAACACCGGUGGCGAAGGCGGGUCUCUGGGCCGUAACUGACGCUGAGGAGCGAAAGCGUGGGGAGCGAACAGGAUUAGAUACCCUGGUAGUCCACGCCGUAAACGUUGGGCGCUAGGUGUGGGGACCUAUCCACGGUCUCCGUGCCGCAGCUAACGCAUUAAGCGCCCCGC
rnacentral:rRNA from 1 species